CGAACGCUGGCGGCAUGCCUAACACAUGCAAGUCGAACGAACUCUUCGGAGUUAGUGGCGGACGGGUGAGUAACGCGUAGGAACCUGCCAAGCAGUGGGGAAUAACAGCUGGAAACGGCUGCUAAUACCGCAUACGCCCCUUCGGGGGGAAAGAUUUAUCGCUGUUUGAGGGUCCUGCGUUCGAUUAGCUAGUUGGUGAGGUAACGGCCCACCAAGGCGACGAUCGAUAGCUGGUCUGAGAGGAUGAUCAGCCACACUGGGACUGAGACACGGCCCAGACUCCUACGGGAGGCAGCAGUGGGGAAUAUUGGACAAUGGGGGGAACCCUGAUCCAGCAAUGCCGCGUGCGUGAAGAAGGCCUUAGGGUUGUAAAGCGCUUUCACCUGUGAUGAUGAUGACAGUAACAGGAGAAGAAGCCCCGGCUAACUCC
rnacentral:rRNA from 1 species